UUGGGUUGGGUGUUUAGAAUAUUAUAUAUAAAAUUAUAGGUUUUUGUUACAAUUUAAUUUUUUUGGUAGUUUUUAGUCUUUCCUGUGCUUUUUCCCUUUUACAUACCAUUUUGAAAAACAAAAUGGUUAUUAUGAUUCUGUGUUAUUUCCACUAUUGACUUCUUACUUUUAUCUUUUUUUAAUUUUAAUGGUUUCACCAACACAAACAAUAUAACAUUAAUAUAUCCUAAUUUACUUUAAACAAUAUUGUAUCAUUUCACAUAGUAUUGAAGCUUUGCAACAAUAUACUCCAAUGCCUCCAUGUCCUCUUUUAUGCUACCAAUUGAUUUUAUAUAGAGAGAGGAUGUUCUAGAUGAACUUCUUGGUAAUCACCAACCAAAACCUAUAAUAGAUAGACAAAAAAAUAAAUAGAAAGGAAUCUAAGAAGAACAUGAAGUCAUCAGUUGCAGAGGAAGAGAACAAGAGAAACAGAAAGGAACAGGGAAGAGCUACAAAAAUAUCCAGAAAACAAUUAACAAAAUGGCACUAAAUAUAUACCUAUCAAUUAUUACUUUAAAUGCAAAUGAACUAAAUGUUCCAAUCAAAAGACCUAGGAUGACUGAAAAGAUAAAAAAAAAAAGACCUGUUUAUAGUUUUCCUACAAGAGACACACUUCAGACCUAAACACACAUACAGACUAAAAGUGAAGGAAUAGAACCUAUACCAUAAAAAUGGAAACAGAAAGCUAGGAUAGCCAUACUUAGUGUUUGUUUUUAAAUCUAUUUUGUGUGAUCUAACAAGACAAAAGUGCAUUACAUAAUGAUAAAAGGACAAAUCCAACAAGCUGUAUAACAAGUGUAACUAUGCAUGAAACGUUGGAGUGACUAAAUAAAUAUUGCCAAACAUAAGGGAGAAACUGACAGUAAUUAAUUAUAGUAGGGAACUUUAACACCCAACUUAUAUUCAAUGGAUAGAUUAGACAUAAAAUCAGUAAGGAAAUAGUGGCUUUGAAUGACCCUUAGACCAGAUAAACUUAACAGAUCUAUAUAGAACAUUCUGUAUAAAAACAACAUUCAUAAGGGAUUCUUUCCAAGGAUGCAAGGAUGGUUCAAUAUCUGCAAAUCAACAUGAUAUAACACAUUUUUUUAAGUGUACCUGAAACAUUCUCCAGGAUAGAUCACAUGUUAGGACAUAAAGCAAGCCUCAAUAAACUUCAGAAGACUGAAAUCAUUGAGGCAUCAUUUCUAACCCCAAUGGUAUACUAGAAAUCAAUUAUAAUAAAAAAAUGGAAAAAAACCCACAACGGUGGAGGCUAAAUAACAUGCUACUAAACAACCAGUGAGUUAACAAAGAAAUCAAAGAUGAAAUAAAAUACCUGGAGACAAAAUAAAAUGAAAACACAAAAGUCUAAAAUCUUUGGGAGACAGCAAAAGCAGUUUUAAGAAGGAAUUUUAUAGUGAUUCAAGGCCUACAUUAAAAAACAUGAAAAAUCCCAGGGGUGCCUGGGUGGCUCAGUCAGUUGGGCAUCUGACUUCAGCUCAGGUCAUGAUCUCGCAGUCCGUGAGUUCAAGCCCUGUGUUGGGCUCUGUACUGACAGCUCAGAGCCUGGAGCCUGCCUCGGAUUCUGUGUGUGUCUCUCUCUCUGCCCCCCCCCCCCGCUUGUGCUCUGUCUCUCUCUGUCAAAAAUAAACAUUAAAAAGAAAUUUAAAAAAAAACAGGAAAAAUUUCAAGCAACCUAACCUUAAACCUAGAGGGAUAUAAAAAAUGAAGAACAAACCAACCCCAAGUUAAUAGAAGAAAGAAAAUUAUAAAGAUCAGAGCAGAAAUAAACUAAUAGACUAACAAAGCAAUCAAAAAGAGCAGUGAAAUUAAGAGCUUGUUCUUUGAAAAGAAAUAAAUUGAUAAACCUUUAGUCAGACUUGUCAGGAAACGGUACUCAAAAUCAGAAAUGAAGAAAAAGUUACAACCAACACCACAGAAAUAAAGAAUUUUAAGAGACCAUUACAAAAUUUAUAUGCCAACAAACUGGACAGUUUAGAUGAAAUGGAUAAAGUCUUAGAAACACAAACUUCCAAGACCAAAUCAGGAAGAAAGAAAAUCUGAACAACCUGAUUCAUAGUAAUGAAAUUAGUGAUCAAAAUCAACCUAGUGGCUUCAUAGGUGAAUUCUAACAAACGUUUAAAAAAGAGUUACUAUGUAUUUUUCUCAAACUAUUACAAAAAAAAAUUGAAGAGGAAGCUAUGCCUUCAAAUUCAUUUUAUAAGGCCAGCAUUAUCCUGAUAUCAAAAUCACACACACAACAAAAAAUUAACCAAAAAAAAAAAAAGAGGCCAAUAUCCUUGAUAAAUAUAGAUUCAAAAAUCCUCAACCAAGUAUUAGCAAACCAAAUUCAAGAAUACACUAAAAGGAUCAUUUACCACAAAUAUUAAGGGAUUCUUUCCAAGAAUGCAAGGAUGGUUCAGUAUCUGUAAGUCAAUCAAUAUGGCAUAACACGUUAGUAAAAUGAAGGCUAAAAGUCCUGAUACCAAUAGAUGAAGAAAAAACAUUUGACAAAAUUCAGCAUCUGUUCAUGAUAAAAACUCAACUAAGUGGGUUUAGAGGGAACAUACUUCAAUGUAAUAAAGCCACAGAUAACAUCAUAUGUAAUGCUGAACAUCUGUAAUAUUUUUUCUAAGAUCAGGAUUAAGAUAAGGAUGUCCACUUCCACCACUUUAUCACUUUUAUUUAACAUAGUACUGAAAGUUAUAGUACCCAUCAUACAAAAAGCUAUCCAAAUUCAUAAGUAAAACUCACUAUUUACAGAUGAGACAAUACUGUAGAUAGAAAACUCUCAAAACACCAUCAAAAAACUAUUAGAAAAAUAAAUUCAGUAAAGUUGCAAAAUAUGACACUGAUACACAGAAAUCUGUGGCGUUUUUAUACCCUAAUGACCUAAAAGAAAGAGAAAUUGAGAAAACAAUUUCAUUUACAAUUGCACCAAAAGGAAUAAAAUACCUAGGAAUAAAUUUAACCAAGGAGGUAAAAAAUCUAUACUCUGAAAACUGUAGGGCACAGAUCAAAGAAACUGAAGAUGACACAAAUAAAGGGAAAGAUGUCCUAUGCUCAUGUGUUGUAAGAAUAUUAUUAAAAUACCCAUAUUACCUAAAGCAAUAUGUAGAUUAAAUGUAAGCCCUAUCAAAAUACCAAUAGCAUUUUAUACAGAACUAGAACAAAUCAUACUAAAAUUUCUAUGCAACCACAAAAAGACUUCAGAUGGACAAAGCGAUGUUGAGAAACAAGAAAAAAGCUGGAGGUAUCAUAAUCUCAGAUUUGAUGACUACAAAGCUGUAGUCAUCAAAAUAGUGUGGUGGUGUUGACACAAAAAUAGAUACACAGAUCAAUAGACAGAAUAUAGAUCCAGAAAUCCAUGCUUAUAUGGUCAAUUCAUCAUCUACAAUACAGGAGGCAAGAUUACAAUAGGGAAAAAGAUGGUCUCUUCAACAGAUGGUGAUGGAAAAACUGGACAGCUACAUGCAUAAGAAUUAAAUGGAUCACUUUCUUACACCAUUUACAAAAAUAGACUCAAAGUGGAUUAAAAAUCUAAAUGUGUAAGACCUGAAAUCUUAAAAGUCCUAAAAGAAAACAUAGUAAACUCUUACACACGGGUCUUAGCAAUAUUUUUGUGAUUGGUGUCUUUGUGCAAGGGAAAUAAAAGCAAAGAUAAACAAGUGGGACCACAUCAAACUAGCAAGCUUUCGCACAGUAAAGGAAACAAUCAGUGAAACAAAAAGACAGCCAACUGAAUGGGAGAAGAUAUUUGCAGACAGUGUAUCUAGUGAGAGGUUAAUAUCUAAAAGAUAUAAAGAACUUCUAUAACUCAACACCAAAAGAAAAAAUCUGAUUAAAAAAAAAUAGGCAGAGGACCUGAAUAGAUACUUUUCCAAAGAAGACAUACAGAUUAACCAACAGAUACAUAAAAAGAUAUGCAAUGUUAAUUAUUAGGAGUUAUUAGGUACAUAUAAAGAUAUACAAGUCAAAACCACAAUGUAUCCAAUAAUUCUAUUUCUGGACAUUUACCUGCAAAAGAUGAAAACACUAAUUUGAAAAGAUAUAUACAACCCCUAUGUUUAUUGUGGAAUAUAUGCAUAGUCAAGAUAAGGAAGCAACCUAAAUAUCCAUUUAUAGAUGAAUGGAUAAAGAUGUGGUGUGUACCUAUCUAAUGGAAUAUUAGUCAUGAAAAAGAAUGACACCUUGCCAUUUAUGGUAACAUGGAUAGACCUAGAAAGUAUUAUGCUAAGUGAAAUAAGCCAGAAAAAGACAAAUACCGUAUUAUUUCACCUAUGUUUAGAAGUUAAAAAUUAAAACACGUAGGAAAGACUCAUAAAUACAGAAAACAACCUGAUGGUUGCCAUAGGGAAAAUUGUGGAGGUAUGGGUGAAAUAGAAAGGAAUUAAGAAAUACAAACUUCCAGUUAUAAGUCAUGGAGAUGGAAGUCACAGUCUAGAGAACCUAGUCAAUAUUGUAAAGACACUAUUGUGACACAUGACACUUAUGGUAAGCAUUUUGUAAUGUAUGUAAAUGUUGAAUCGUACAUCCAAAAUGAUAAUGUAUAUCAACUAUACUUUAUUUUUUUCUUAAAUUAGGGGUACCUGGGUGGCUCAAUCUAUUAAGCGUCUGACUCUUGAUCUGGGCUCAGGUCAUGAUCUCGUGGUUUGUGGGAUUGAGCCCUUCAUUAGGCUCUGCACUGAGACUGUGGAUCCUGCUUGGGAUUCUCUCUCCCCCUCCGCUGCUUGCAUGUACUCUCUCUCCACAAAAAUUUUAAAUGUUUUAAAAAUUAAAUAUUGUAUAUUUUUAUCUAGAGUUCAAAUAUUCCCUUUAUCUACUUAUCAAUGGUUAUCAAUAAUCAACAAUAUUUAUCUCUAUUUUAUUUUUAUAAAUUCUAGAGAGGUGGCUGCAGUUACCUAAUGGAAAAUUCAGUUUUUUAUGGAUAGUGUAAGUGUAAGACUUUGCUAAUAAAUAUGCACUUUUUAGUGUUCCUAUAAACUUAAAAAUGAUCACGUGUGGAUUUUACAAAAUGUUAUUUUUCUUUCAAAAAGAGUUUUAUCAAUUCAACAUAUAAAAUUCUAAUUUAAGCACACUCUGCCUGUUAGAAUCCCUUUCAGAUAAUUUUUAUGAUUGAUGUGCUUUCAGAGAUUUUAAUCAUUCCCCAUAGGAAGUGGUUCUAGAUUUAUAACUGGUCCAUAACUUGCUUGGGCUUAUUGGGUCUGUAUUAAAAACUGAAGAAUUUAUACCUUAUUUUAACAAACAGAUUAUUAUGAAUACUUUCCUCUCCUUUGAUUGUCUAAAGCUAAGUUACCUUGUUUCUGGUAUUCUGAUUCUGUGUCUUUUGUCUUGUCUGAGAAAGUUCUGGAAACUGAAAUGAUUUUCUGAUUUCCUUCUUCUGUUUGAUUUGCUCUUACACAUUUCCUUCUCCUCCUUCCCUCCAUGACUUCCUAUGUGCUCAACCAUAAGAACCAGAUACUGGUCACUCUACUUAUGCUUUUUACUUUUUAGGACACUCUAGUGUCUUAAAUUUUCCUGGAUAAAUUUCUGUUUUUAUACUUGAUUAUUAUACUUUAUCCCAGAGCAUUUUUUCUAAGUGUCCUCUUUAGGAUCCCUGCCUCAAAAACCUGAAAAGUCUUUAUUAUUUAGCAACACAGUGAUUUCUCAUAAAGCACAUGAAUAUACAUUUCUGUAAUUAGUUUUUAAAAUACAGUUUUAAAGAAAUAUUUUUUAUAUUGUUCAUGGGCCAUUUGUAGCAAAGCAAUUUACAAGAUGAGAUUUAUCCCCAUAAUAUACAAAUAGUAGGUAACUUUUCUUUAAUAUCCAUUAUGUCCCAAGAAUUAUUUGAAUGCUUUCCAUAUUUUCUCAUUGAAAAUAACCUCAUAAAACAGGCAGUACUAUUUCCAUUUUGAAUAUAAUGAAACUAAAGCAUAGAAAGCUUAAGCAACUUACCUAAGGUUGUAGACUAUAAAGUGCUACCACCAAGAAUACAGAUUUUGGUAAAAUUGACUUUGUGGUCCUAUUACCUUAAAUUCAUGAUUAAAUUUUAUCUUUAUCUUUGUUUUUAUAAACAAAUAACAAAUUUGCAUAAAAUAUAUUGAAAAAAUAAAAUAUCUUUUAUUGUUUACUAAAUUUAUGAAAUUCUGUUUUGCUCUAAAAUAAGACAAAACUUAUUUUAAAAAGAAUUUGCAUCUUAGAAUAAUAUGAGGAUUGUUAAAAGAGAAUCCAUGCUCCCUUCCAUUGAAACAUCAAUGAGAACUGCUGGGAAAUAUAGUUUAAGAACUAAAAAAAAAAAAAAAAUACAUUAAGCAGUUUCAUAGAAAUAAUGAAAGUGCUGUAAUUGUUGUGAGGUAGGCAUACUUUUCUCAUUUUUUAUUCCAUAUAUCUGAGUAUGGUUCCACUAAAAAUCAAGUAUUUCCCUGAUACUCUUUAGCUACUAUUAGCAUAUAAAGGUGUCAUAUAUGGAAACAGGGAGAAGUCUUUUCAAAAUGCCUAAGAGAAAUAAGACAAGAAUGAUGUUGUCAUGUAAUAGAAUACAAAAUCAUGACUAAUUUAUUACCUUGUCAUAAUUUUACAUUAAAUAAUAGAACCUAUAAUAUGUCUUCCACAAGCAAACAUAUUUGAAAAUGACACAUUUAUUAAAUUUAAACUCUUGUAUGCAAAUAGUAUCUAGUAUGUAUUCAUAGUGACAAGUCCCAAAUGCCAUGUCAUUUAUUGCUCAUGUGUUUCUUUUUAGUCCUCUUCAACAUAAAGCUGGAAUGUGAAAACUAUUUUAGAAAUGGAUUUUGAAGGGUUUAAUCAGAUUACGAGAAAUGAAGCCUUGGGGGGAAAAGUUUCAACAUAUUCUUAAAGGACAUGAGAAAUGGAAUUGUUAAUAGUGUUCAAAACUAAGUAAAGUAUUAUUCCUUGACAUGAUAGAAAUUUUGUCAAUCAUUAGGUUUUUUUUAUUAUUAUUCUUGUGCCAUCAAGAAUGUCAGGACAAGUCAAGACCAUAUUACUAGUCAGUCAUUGUGUCCUAUUUAUUUCAUCUCCGUGCUUUCUCAUCUCCAAUGACACUGCUUAAGUUCAAAAUUUUGCCUUGAUUUAAGUAGACUCACUGUUAUCUCUACUUUCAUUCUUCCCUAUCAUAGCCCCCUCUCCCCAAAAACCAGUCCUUUUUUUAGUGCUUUCAUAAGGAUUUUCUAAAACUCCUAUCUGAUGGAGUCACCCUUAAAAUUUUGAACAUGCAGCCAGACUGCCUAGAUGUGAAUCAUAGCUCUCUUACCUAGCAGUUUUGGAAACUUCUCAAGCCAUUUAACCUACUAGUACUUUGAGGUUUUUUUUUUCUACGUAUGAAAUAGAAAUAAUAUUAGCUAACUCAGUAAGGUUGAUAUAGGAAUUCAGUGAGUUAAUAUACAUAAACUGUUAACAGUAGUACCUGGUACAGAUAAGUAAUAUAGGCACUAUUUUACAGAAGAAUAAAAGAAAAAUAGUACUGUCAGCUAAACAAGGGGAGGCAGCCACUAUAUUUGGUUAUAUAUAUAUAUGCAUGUAUGUGUAUGGGUAUGCAGGUGUGUAGGUGUAUAUAUACAUAUAUAUAAAAUCAAGCAGCUGGUUAAUGGCUGUCAUUUGACAUUAGAAAUUUUUGCUCACUGUGAAUAUCCAGGAUGAGAAGAAAUGUAAAACAGAGUGGGAGUCCAAAGAAACAUUAAUAAUUGGCUCCAGAUAGAUACAAGAAUGAGUAAGCAAGCAAAGUAGGCAUAGGCCAGGGUUAUAUAAGUGGUAGAAGUCCAUUUUAUUUGGGGUAUGGAGAAGGAAGGAGAUUGCUGUUUUUCAAGGCACCAACCAAUAACAACAUUCAGAUGAGGUUCGGGUUCUGAGUAUCCUCUAGAAUGUAGACAGCAAAAUUAAACAGAGUGGAAGUAUGUACAAGGUUGAUGGGCAGAACAUAGAGAGUCUGGCUAAGGUCAGGGAAUUUACCAGGUAUUUAACAAGAUCUAACAGUGAACAGAGAUCAAAGUCAACAUCUCUGGAACUUGAUUACUGUGGUAUAUACUGCCCUUGAUUUCAAAUUGUACUUAUUUGUAACUAUAACUCUUUGCAAGGAAGAUGUUUGAUUCUUUCUAUAUUAUCAUUUCCCAGUUGUUUGAAGUGAUCAAAAGAAACCUGACCACAUUGUUUCAGAGCUAGUUCUCAGAUGGAUGAAAGAUACAAGGUAGAUAGGAUCAAGCAGUAAAUUGCCAACCAUUAUGGUGGUUUCCCAGCUGCUGUGACUGUGCUCUAAACCUGUCACCUUACACCACUUCAUCUAUGUUCAUUUGACCACCAUCCUGAUUCCAUUCUUUAAACUCUUACGUACUGCAUAAUUGUUUUUUCGCUGGUGUGGACAAUGGAAAUCUCAACUUGCUUUGAUCUGUAGUUCUUGCAGUUUUGUUCUUUAGCUUUCCUGCAUGUCUUUGCUACCCAGUUUUUGCUUUAAGCCAUCUCCAGUCCUUUUCAAUAAACUCAUACUGGAGCAGACAACUCAUUGUUGGGAUGAGGGAUGGUGGACUGGGCUACACAGGUAUGAGCAGGUUCUGGGACACUACCCUAACUGAGAAGAUUAGGAGAUCCAAUCUUGUGCUCCUACUACAUUGUGUAUUUAUAUAUAAUAAAUAUAAUCUACAUAUUCUAUAUAUGCACACAUGCACAUACACAUGCACAUACAUUGUAGCAAUGAUAGUAUUGUCCGUUUGGUACAUUUGUAACUCUCCACUAUAUUUUAAACUACUAGAUUUUAAACUACUUCUCCAGUAGAACAGUAUUUUUAUUUGUGUGUGUUUAUCCCCAGUGCCUAUAUCAGUGUCUAGCUUAAAAUGAAUAAUAUAGAACAAAAUUAAUUUAAUAAAUAGAGGAACCAAAUGAUAGGUAUAAACUAAUUCUUGGCAGAGGAAGAGCUGAAUGCAUUCCUAGACAAAUAUUAGUAAGGAAGCUGUCCAAGUGUCUUUUACAAAAUGACGUAUUUUCUUAAAAUAUUCUAAGUUUCCAAGAUUUAUUUGCUAGGCUAACAUGCUCAAGUCUCUUUGGAAGAUGAUAAUAUUUUUAUCUCCAUUGUCCUGAAGAAUAAAAAUAAAGCAGGUGCAAAAAAAAAACAUUUUAAAGGUAUAUUUACUAUCGUUUUUAAAAAACAGGACUCGAUAAAUCAAUUUUUAAAACUCAGAAAAUUAAAAAUUUUAUAUCUCAAAUAUGCCUUAACUCAUUUCUAGAAAAAACUUCCUAUAGUUUUGAAUUUCAAUAUAUCCUCCUGGCACAUCCUAUAGGUCCUAUAAGGAGCUGAGCAUUUUCAACUUCUAGAAAGGGAUGAUAUGACAUUUAGAAUUUUAAAUGAAGACUUUCAAGAGUAUAAUCUAUGCUAAAAAGGAAUAAAAACUAUUUUAAAAAUAAUUUCUUUACUGCAAUAUACUUUGAAUGUUAGAUGUUAUCUUUAAUCUUUAAUACUUAAGUGCCAGUGUAACUUAAUAUGUGGAACUUUGCCAUUAAGAAAUUUUCAAAAUUCACAUGUGAUUAUGUUUAUGAUUGGUAACUCUUGAUUCCUUUCCCUAAGCUUUACUUUCCUUCAACAGUGCAUUUCUAAAGAUACUUCAACAAAAGCAGAAAAGCAAAAUUUUCCUUCUUGUUUUUCUCUAAAUUAUUUCUCCAAGUGGGUAUGGCUACAAUAAGAGUAGAACAUAAGUAUAUGUUUGCGCUUACCUCAAAAGUCUGCUUGUAAGUCAUUCACUUUAUCUAUUACUGGUAGCAAAGGAAAUUAAUUGAAAUGCUAUGGAACGUUAUCAUAAAGGGAUAAAUGCCUGUGAUGUAUCAUUAAAAUUAAGAAAUUUUGAAACGAUUAUAUCAAGAAGAGUUAUAUAAUAUAAAUGCAUAUACCUGUGUGUAUGAAAUUUCUCAAAGAUAUUUUUACAUGAGUACCAUACAUUCUAAGAAUAUUAUCCUUUGGAGUAAACAGAACAUCCCAUUUACAAAAUAUCACUUUGAAAUGGCUAAUUCUAGUAGCUCAAAACUAAAUUGUCAAAUACUUAGUUAUUGAGAAGGACAUCCUAGUAAGAAGUCUUUUGUCCAUAAUUUUGCAUAUUUUAUACCAAUUUUAUAUUCAUUUUUAUUACUGUUGUUAGCAUUCAAAAUAGGAUUAGAAAACAGGCAAGGUCCUUGCCCUUAAGAUAUUUAUUUCUUGGGAGAAGUGGUGGGGAAGAAGGAAACAAGAUGUCAAAUGAAUAAAUACACAAAAGAUGAUUUUAGAUUUUGAAAAGUACUGUGAAUAAACUAAAUUCGUGCAAUAAAACAGGACAUAAGAAGGCCACAUUGUUUAUAGUUUUCUUUCUGUGACAUGCAUGACAAGGAACAGACAAAAGAAAGUAUAUUCUAGGCAAAAGGCAUGGCAAAUGCAAAGGUAUGAUGCUGGGACAAGAGCACUGACUUAGAGACCAAUGAGACACCAACAUACCUAAAACAAAGAGGAGAGGGUUGAGCAAUCAGGUGACUGAGUUUGGCAGGGGCGAGAUCCUAAAGAAAAAUGACAUAUAAACCAUGGUAAUAAUCUGGAUUUUCUAAUUGCCCAGAAAGACUAUUCAAAAGUUUUCAGCAAGGGCUGAAAUUAUCUAAUUUUUCCCUUCAUUGUAAAAGAUUAAUUUGGUUGCUCUAAAUGAAUAAAUUUUAUCUAACCAAGUUUACAAAGUGAGAAACUCAGUUAAGCUGCCAUUGCUAUGGCCCAGUGAGUAAUGAUGGUGUCUUAGACGAGGGUGAUGGCAACAAAGAAUUAAAAAAGUAAUCAAAUUUGGUGUGUGUGUUAGAGGUAAUGUUACAUGAUUUAAUAGUGGGGUGUGUGUGUGUGUGUGUGUGUGUGUGUGUGUGUGUGUGUGUGUGUUGAGGGGAGUGUUGGUAAGAGAAAUAAAGUUACUAAGAAUGACAACAGUCCUCUUGGUUCGAGGAACUGAGUGGAAGAUAAUAUUCUUUAGUGCGAUAGGGAAGAUUGAUGAAAAAUCAUGUCAUUGGAAGAGAGACACAAAUCAAAAAGUUAUACUUUAGACAUGGUUAAUUUGAGAUGCCUAUUAGUCAUUUAAGUAACAGUUGGGUUUAUGAAUUUGGAGCUUAGGGGAAUAGUUAGAUAGGAGGAGGUAUGUUUGGAACUUACUGCCCAAUUGCUGAUAUUUCAAGCAAUGCAACUGUGUGAGAUUAUAGAGGAAGACUUUUUAGAGAAAUAAUAGAAUAGAGCUUAAAACCAAGUUCUAAGGCACUUCAAUUUUCAAAGAUUGGGUAGACAAAGGGAACAAUCCAUAAAGGUAAGGAGAAAAAGUCAAGAAAGUGUAGUUGCACAAAACAAAAAAAGAAAGAAAAAAAGCAGGAAUUAUAUAGUUGCCAGUUGUGUUCAAGUCUGCUGAGAAGCAUGGAAAUCAUUAGUGAAUUUAAUGAGAGCAAUUUCAGCAAAGUAGAGAAGACAAAAGCCUGAUCAAAAAGGAUUUGAAAGAAAAUGCAGAUAAGGAGAUAGCAACUAUAGAUUACUUUUAUAUUAUUCUGGGAAAAGGUAAGAAAAAGAGCUAAAUGCUGUGUUGUAGCAUAAAAGGUUGUCCAUGAGAAUUCUCACUUAUUAUGGAAAUAUAACAAAAUUGUCUAGAUAGUGUUGAGUACCAAUUUGAGACUUGUGGUUAUGAACUGAAAGUCCACUUAAUACAUCUGCAUAAUGAUCUAUAGCAAAAUUUAGCUUCCUACAUGCAGGUAUAAUAUAAGAAAAGUGUUAGAUUACUUAGAUUUGCAGUUCAACCGGUGAACAUAAAGGAGGGAAGAUGUCAACAGAAGGAUUUUUGCAAGUAAAGGAUUUUAAUAAUGAAAUGUACAAUUUGACUUGGAAGUUAACUUGGAAGCUUGAUCAUGAAAAAAAUGAGUGAUUUAAUCCAACUGGAAUGAGAGGAGGAGGAAGAGGGGAAGAAAAGAAGGCAAGGGCUUGAAAUUGGAAUAUUGAAGGUGUUCUUUUAAUAAUGAUGUCAACAUAAAGGGUAUAAACACAAUAGUGGAUGAUUGAGGUAGAAUGGAGAUAAUUUCCACUGGAGAUGAGGUCAAAUAGCUCAAAGCAAAAAAAAAAAAAAAAAAAAGGAAAGAAA